AAGAGCCCCCGCAGACUUACAAUUGCAAGUUGGGCAACUAAAUCGCAGAGUAUACAAAUAAGCACAGUGACUUAUGACAUCCCGCACAUCUUAUCCAACUAAAUUGUUCAACUAAAUAAUUGGACAUCGAUUGUAUCAGAAUCGAAAUUCCCUUCCGAUUACGCACAAUUAAAAAGUUGUCCAACUAUUGGCCGACAGCUUAUUAGCACGGGGACUCUAUACAAGCUCGCAGACUAUCCAACUUAGUUGGUCAGUCGCACGGCAAGAUGCAAGGGGACGUUACGCGCGCGCGUGAUUUCCCCGCGCCCGGACCAUCGACGACGUUGAAUUGCAUCUUCUUC